rnacentral:lncRNA from 1 species
UUUUUUUUUAUUCUUUCCUUUAAAGGUCAACGUCUAUUAAAGAGUGACCAACUGUUAGUUAUCAACGUUAUUGUUAAUGUUUAGGUUAUUUUAACAAGAAAACUAGUUUAAAAAAAUAUAUUGAUUUCCUAAGGAAAUGUGUGGUUUUCCAAAAUUGAAACCGAUAAAGAUAUUAUUGAAAUAUUUGGAAAAGCAAAUGCAAUAUGAAAUGCAGGUAUUUUGAUCGAAUUAUCAAUAUUAUACGAAGGUCAUUUUUAUAAAAUAAUCGAAGACAAUGUAACAGCAUGUUUAAAGUAUAUUUUUGAUGGCACAUAUUAAUUGAAUAGUUAGAUCGUUUAUGAUUGCUGCCUGCUGCACGAUGUGAAUGGUUUAUUUCAAAUCAAAGACAAAUGAAAUCCGGACCGAGUUGAAAAGCAUACGGGACCAAUAAUUCCUAAAAGGAUUGCCAAAUACAGCGUAGGUAGAAAGAAGCCUAAUUAAUACAAAUUUAAAAGUUUUGAAACUGUUAAUUUAUAAUGAUUAACAUAUAAAUGAUAAUGCAUGUCAAUACAGAGGUAAUGAAUACUGAGAUGAGCGGAUGUACUCUCUGGCUUUGACACAGUGGUAGUAAAUAAACUCAUCAUAGAUACAAGGAUUCAAAUUUGGUAUUUGUAAAAUUUGGUAAAAUGUUUAAAAAUAUAUGCUAUUUUUGGGGUAAUUAUUCCUUCUGGGUCAACCAAUGAAUUCAGUCGUGUUGGUUUUUUUUUUUUAAUUGAAAAUAUUUUAGUGUACAUUGUAGAUGAUUUUUGCAAAUUAAAGUUUCGCUCUAAG